CCCCUUCAACCUUAACCCAAAUUUUGGUUUCCCCCUUUUUUCUCUCUGUAUCUUUCUUCUUCUGCACCUUCUUUGUAUCUUUCUUCUUUAUCUUCCGUUUCUCUCUUCUCUUCUCCUUUCUCUCUGGCGUUCUAACUCUAUUCUCUUGUCUCUCUCCAAUAAUCUCUCUCUCUCUCUCUCUCUCUCUCUCUCUUUUGUCCGGCUCUCUCUUCUCUGCUCUCUCCCUGUGUCUCUUCGCUUUAUCCUCUUUUUGUUUGUGAUUAGGUUUUUGGCUUGCUUGGUAAGUGCGGUGUGUUGAUUCUCUGAAGCACCUAAAGGAGAACUAGGAUUUGAUUCGCAUCCUCAUUCCGUUUUUGCAGAUUUUGUGGUUUAUCUUGGGGAUGUCAUUACAGCCAACAACAUACCAAUCUUUACUUUUAUCAUCUUCUCUUUUCUUUUGUCUUUUGGUCUUGUUUUACCUGUCAAGUUCUUUUUGUAUAUUAGCUUUACACAUUAUGUUUUCCCAUUUCUCAGAGCAAGAAUAGAUGCAAUGAGUUGCAACUCAGCAGAUUAGAGCCUGCAACAUUGCAGCCAAGGAAUAAGUGAGACACUACUCACAAGAGAUCAGUACUAUUUUGAUGAUUAUAUGCAGCUGGCUGGAGAAAAAAGUGAAGUAAGCAAGGAAGGUUUAUUAAGUUUUUACAGAAGCCAAGCAGCUCCAAUGGCCACAGCUUUCUCUUUGCCACAUGACCUCUUUAACAACAUCAGUCCCUUUGCAAACUAUGCAAAUGCAGUGCUAGAAGAAUCUGAUUUCUUUAAGGUACACAUUUUAUAAAUUUGUAUGUAUAGAUAUAUCACUUUAACUGUUAUUCUUGCGUUUUAGCAGCUUUUAAUGUAGCAUGUUCAUAAUUUUGGUUUUGUGGCACAACCCUAUUGUGUUUCAACUCUAGUCAUAUAGCAUGCUCUUAUUUUUUGUUGGUGUAUACCAAAAUCCAUACUCACAUUCUUUUCCUACCAGUAUAUCAUGUUUAUAAAUGUGGGCUUGUAGCAUCCUAGCACUACUUAAUUUCCAGCUCCUAUUGUUGCCUCUGAUGCUUAUAGUCUAAUACUACUUGGUAGCUCCAACUUUGAUUAAAUUUAUUUUAUUUAUUGACCAAAGAGAUAAAAGUAAAGAUUGAUAUAUUGGUGGCUGUAAUGCCAUUUUACAGUGUAUGUUUGUUACUUUGUGUUUUGGCAUUGCAUUUUAUUCUCUAGGUUGCAAGCUCGAUAUGUGCUCCUCGUGGUGAGCAGUUAAUCAAAGAUUGAUGGCCCCAUAACAUGCCCUCCAUGGGACCUUCUGAUUCUUAAGACGGAAACUUGUGUAGAGGGUGUACGAUAGCGUUCUUUGUAUUGGUCUCAAGGCUUACGCCCGAUUACAUGAGUCUCACUUCACUAAAUAUGCUGACUAGGAAGGCAUCAUGCAGUCCGUCAUGCCCUGACAAAAAUUUGUGGCUAUGCUUUGCAAGACAUACGGGUUAUAGUGGAUAUGGAACCUUGACCCGAGGAUCUAAAAUUUUUGAGUUAACCAAGGAUCCCUUCUCAGUAAAAUCGUGGAUUUGGAUGGAAGAUGGCCAUAAACACAUUGAAUUCUACUCCCUAUAUGUAGAACUGAAGUUUUAUACAAUGAUCAAAACCCAGUCUCAGAUAUUUUUGAAAAUUCAACAAGUUAGAAGCAAGGUAUAAAUCCAUAUCUUUGUGGGAUUGAAUUGUUGGUUGAAAAGUGAAUAUUAGUUGGUUAAUAUAAUUAGUUGGUGGAUAUAUGUUGGUGGUUAUUGGUUGGUUAUUGGUUUGUACUUGGUUGGUUGUAAUGUUGGUAAUGAAAACUUUUGUUUUCCAA